rnacentral:tRNA from 1 species
GAAGAGGUGGCCGAGUGGUCCAAGGCGCCGCAACCACGAAGGUCUCUUCGAUUCCUCUUGGAUUCAAAAACUGCGGUCUGUUCCAAGAACAGUCGUGGGUUCAAAUCCCUCCCUCUUCU